UUAUACAGCGAAACUGCGAAUGGCUCAUUAAAUCAGUUAUCGUUUAUUUGAUAGUGCCCAUCUACAUGGAUAACCGUGGUAAUUCUAGAGCUAAUACAUGCGUAAAAGCGCGACUUCGGGAGCGCUGUAUUUAUUAGAUUAAAGACCAAUGCCCUCCGGGGCUCACUGGUGAUUCAUGAUAACUCCUCUGAUCGCACGGCCUUGCGCCGGCGACGGCUCAUUCAAAUUUCUGCCCUAUCAACUUUCGACUUUAGUGUAGUGGACUAAAGUGGUUGCAACGGGUAACGGAGGGUUAGGGCUCGACCCCGGAGAAGGAGCCUGAGAAACGGCUACUACAUCCAAGGAAGGCAGCAGGCGCGCAAAUUACCCAAUCCCGACACGGGGAGGUAGUGACAAUAAAUACUGAUACAGGGCUCUUUCGGGUCUUGUAAUCGGAAUGAGUACAAUCUAAAUCCUUUAACGAGGAGCAAUUGGAGGGCAAGUCUGGUGCCAGCAGCCGCGGUAAUUCCAGCUCCAAUAGCGUAUAUUAAAGUUGUUGUGGUUAAAAAGCUCGUAGUUGAACCUGGGCCCCGUCCCGGCCGGUCCGCCUCACCGCGUGCACUGGUUCGGGAGGGGCUUCGCACCUUGGGGGUACGCAUGCCCUUCGCUGGGCGUGCGGGGAACCAGGACUUUUACUGUGAAAAAAUUAGAGUGUUCAAAGCAGGCCUAUGCUCGAAUACAUUAGCAUGGAAUAAUAAAAUAGGACGUGCGGUUCUAUUUUGUUGGUUAUGGGACCGCCGUAAUGAUUAAUAGGGACAGUCGGGGGCGUCAGUAUUCGGUGGUCAGAGGUGAAAUUCUUGGACCCACCGAAGACUAACUACUGCGAAAGCAUUCGCCAAGGAUGUUUUCAUUAAUCAGGAACGAAAGUUAGGGGAUCGAAAACGAUCAGAUACCGUUGUAGUCUUAACCAUAAACUAUGCCGACUAGGGAUCGGGCGAUGUUGCUUACUGACUCGCUCGGCACCUUUCGAGAAAUCAAAGUCU
rnacentral:rRNA from 1 species